rnacentral:lncRNA from 1 species
GUGUGUUUGUGUGUGUGUGUGUCUGAGUGUGUGUGUUUGUGUUUCUGGGUGGGAGGGUGGUGUGUAAGUUAGUUCUAUUAGUUGUGAUAAAGGCCUGCUGGAAAUAUAGCACAGGAAAUAUGUAUAUUACACAAACAGACCUCUCUCUCUCUCUCUCUCUGUCGCGUGCUCUCUCUCUCUCUCACUCUCUCUCACUCUCUGUUCUUCCUCACUCUCUCAUGCUGUCAGAGCGGGGGCUGAAGCAAUGCCACUUGAACGUUAAGUGCAAUAGAACAGAGUUGUCGUGCCAACCGGCGCCUGUGCACCGUGACCUCAACACCUGGUAUGUUCUGAGUGUGCUCCAACUCCGGCUCCUCGGAUCAACUAAUUCACCAUGGGAAACUACAUGUGUGGAACACUGAGGAAGAAGAAAAAUGAAGAUGGUAAAACAUACUACUUUAGUAAAAGCAUGUCACAUUUUCUUGUUAUAAUUCAAAGUAUGUGUUAUAAUUUAAUCAAGACAUUGCUACAUGUCUGCUUCUUUGCAGAAGUUAACGGUGAUAGUCAUAGCAGCCCAGACAACAAGGAAGAGGAUGUGACAUACGCCACCAUCGACCAUAACAACACCAAGACAACAGGAUUCAUCGUAGAUUCCGGAGAUAACGAUUGUGACUACGCCCUCGUUAACCUUCCAACGGGCCCAGCCCACCAGUCGUCAAUCAAGGAAGACUGCUCAGACGACUAUGUCCUUAUGGGCUAA